rnacentral:sRNA from 1 species
UGAAGCGGUAGUGGCGGCGGCGGCGGCGGCUCGGCAGGCGGGUUCAGGCUUCGGGGGCCAGAAACAAACCGGAAGCAGUAGAAGUAACAUUUGCAGAUUUCGAUGGGGUCCUCUAUCAUAUUUCAAAUCCUAAUGGAGACAAAACAAAAGUGAUGGUCAGUAUUUCUUUGAAAUUCUACAAGGAACUUCAGGCACAUGGUGCUGAUGAGGAUACAAUGUCUCUUUGCUAUAUGACCUUGAAAAUCUUCCGGCAUCCAAGGAUUCCAUUGUGCAUCAAGCUGGAAUGUUGAAGCGAAAUUGUUUUGCCUCUGUCUUUGAAAAGUACUUCCAAUUCCAAGAAGAGGGCAAGGAAGGAGAGAACAGAGCAGUUAUCCAUUAUAGGGAUGAUGAGACCAUGUAUGUUGAGUCUAAAAAGGACAGAGUCACGGUAGUCUUCAGCACAGUGUUUAAGGAUGACGACGAUGUGGUCAUUGGAAAGGUGUUCAUGCAGGAGUUCAAAGAAGGACGCAGAGCCAGCCACACAGCCCC